rnacentral:rRNA from 1 species
GUACAAGGUUUCCGUAGGUGAACCUGCGGAAGGAUCAUUGUCG